UACGGAGGUUGCGAGCGUUAUCCGGAUUUAUUAGGUUUAAAGGGUGCGUAGGCGGGAUAUUAAGUCAGUGGUGAAAUGCUGUGGCUCAACCAUAGAACUGCCAUUGAUACUGAUGUUCUUGAAUUUAGUUGAGGUAGGCGGAAUGUGUAGUGUAGCGGUGAAAUGCUUAGAUAUUACACAGAACACCGAUUGCGAAGGCAGCUUACCAAACUACGAUUGACGCUGAUGCACGAAAGCGUGGGUAGCGAACAGG
rnacentral:rRNA from 1 species